AGCAGCCGCGGUAAUUCCAGCUCCAAUAGCGUAUAUUAAAGUUGUUGCAGUUAAAAGCUCGUAGUUGAAUUUCGGGAUUAAUAUGUUGGUCGUGCCUUGGUACGUACUGGCAUUAUUGAUUCCUACCUUCUGAAGAACCUCGAUGUCAUUAAUUUGGUGUCUUGGGGAAUCAGGACCGUUACUUUGAAAAAUUAGAGUGUUUAAAGCAGGCUCGCGCUUGAAUACAUUAGCAUGGAAUAAUGAAAUAGGACGUUUAAUUCUAUUUUGUUGGUUUCUAGGAUCGACGUAAUGAUUAAUAGGGAUAGUUGGGGGCAUUAGUAUUCAAUUGUCAGAGGUGAAAUUCUUGGAUUUAUUGAAGACUGACUACUGCGAAAGCAUUUGCCAAGGAUGUUUUCAUUAAUCAAGAACGAAAGUUAGGGAUCGAAGACGAUCAGAUACCGUCGUAGUCUUAACCAUAAACUAUAGCCGACUAGGGAUCGGAUGAUGUUAAUUUUUAAUGUACUCAUUCGGCGCCUUAAC
rnacentral:misc_RNA from 1 species